UCUUCUCAUUGCACCUAUGUCAAGUGAAUAAUUGAAAAUAUGUCAGCAUUGCCAGAGGAACUCUGCAGGAUUUUAAAGUCUAGUGGUGGAGGAUUGCAGCUACGACGCGGAAUAUAGCAUCCUAAAGUUGAAUUUUUCAGCUCUAUUGCUUUUAGGAUUGUUACUGAAGACUUACCUCAGGAGGUGCUGCACAGAGCAUGUAGAAGCAGUGGUAGUUCCUCU